UUUCGGGGCAGGCCGCGUGGCUGGGAGGCAUGGCGGCUUCUGGCUGGAUCCAACAGGGCGAGCAUUCUCGGGCCUUUGGCUGCGGCUUUUCUUUGGCAUCUGCGGAGGCAGUGAGCAGCAGACCUGCAGGUUGAAGCUUAAAAGUAACGAAUGCAUCCCUGAAAUGAGUGCAGUCUCAGCCUCGGUUUCUGAGGCUGGAAAAGGAUCCUGCAGAAGCAGAUAGGUAGCGCCUAGUCCACUGCCCUGGGCCCGAAGUGGAGACUUUGCUUUCGUACAUGUCUGCGGUGUGUGAGACAGAACUGACAUGCUUUGCCUGAAGUAAGUGAAAGGACUCCUCUGUUGCUUGUGGUCUUUGUUGCCAUCUUUCGUGUCCCUCGGAAGCCCCACAAGCCUAUGAUGGUUAUCUCCUCAGGACAGGCGAUGCCAGGUGGAGCAGCACGGCCUCUGUUGCUAAUUGUUAAUGCCUGCAAAAUAAUCCCCCAAAGGGAGAAUAAUUGAAGAAUUCUUUGGACUUGGUCUGCAAAAGGAGCCAAAGAAUUUGAGUGACAGCUCAUCCCGCUGGCAGUCAAAUCAGGGUGUAACAUCCAGGAUGCCACAGUUUAGCUGAUCUGGGUGUAACUGGUGUGCUGGCAAGAGGGCAUGAUUGUGAACUGAAAAGGGUUAAUGUGUAUGUGCUCUGUUUUGGGGAGACUGAGGGGAAGCAGGUGCUCCGCCUAGAAAGAGGCUUCUCAGAGUGGAUUUCCUGUGAAGUUAAUGUAUCUUGGGCUUAAAUUUUGAAGCACAAAUAAAAGUUUUUAAAAAUGGA